rnacentral:rRNA from 1 species
GAUGAACGCUGGCGGCGUGCCUAAUACAUGCAAGUCGAGCGAACAGACGAGGAGCUUGCUCCUCUGACGUUAGCGGCGGACGGGUGAGUAACACGUGGAUAACCUACCUAUAAGACUGGGAUAACUUCGGGAAACCGGAGCUAAUACCGGAUAAUAUAUUGAACCGCAUGGUUCAAUAGUGAAAGACGGUUUUGCUGUCACUUAUAGAUGGAUCCGCGCCGCAUUAGCUAGUUGGUAAGGUAACGGCUUACCAAGGCAACGAUGCGUAGCCGACCUGAGAGGGUGAUCGGCCACACUGGAACUGAGACACGGUCCAGACUCCUACGGGAGGCAGCAGUAGGGAAUCUUCCGCAAUAGGCGAAAGCCUGACGGAGCAACGCCGCGUGAAUGAUGAAGGUCUUCGGAUCGUAAAACUCUGUUAUUAGGGAAGAACAAAUGUGUAAGUAACUAUGCACGUCUUGACGGUACCUAAUCAGAAAGCCACGGCUAACUACGUG